CCUACGGGGGGCAGCAGUAGGGAAUCUUCCGCAAUGGACGAAAGUCUGACGGAGCAACGCCGCGUGAGCGAAGAAGGCCUUCGGGUCGUAAAGCUCUGUCCUAAGGGAAGAUAAUGACGGUACCUUAGGAGGAAGCCCGGGCUAACUACGUGCCAGCAGCCGCGGUAAUACGUAGGGGGCGAGCGUUAUCCGGAAUUAUUGGUCGUAAAGGGUGCGUAGGCGGCCUUGUAAGUCAGGUGUGAAAGGCUACGGCUCAACCGUAGUUAGCACUUGAAACUGCAGGGCUUGUGUGCAGGAGAGGAGAGUGGCAUUCCUAGUGUAGCGGUGAAAUGCGUAGAUAUUAGGAGGAACACCAGUGGCGAAGGCGACUCUCUGGACUGUAACUGACGCUGAGGCACGAAAGCGUGGGGAGCGAACAGGAUUAGAUACCCCUGUAGUC
rnacentral:rRNA from 1 species